GGGGAAUAUUGGACAAUGGGCGAAAGCCUGAUCCAGCAAUGCCGCGUGUGUGAAGAAGGUCUUCGGAUUGUAAAGCACUUUCGGCGGGGACGAUGAUGACGGUACCCGCAGAAGAAGCCCCGGCUAACUUCGUGCCAGCAGCCGCGGUAAUACGAAGGGGGCUAGCGUUGCUCGGAAUGACUGGGCGUAAAGGGCGCGUAGGCGGUUCUGCAGGUUAGAUGUGAAAUUCCUGGGCUUAACCUGGGGGCUGCAUUUGAUACGUGCUGGCUUGAGUGGGGAAGAGGGUCGUGGAAUUCCCAGUGUAGAGGUGAAAUUCGUAGAUAUUGGGAAGAACACCGGUGGCGAAGGCGGCGACCUGGUCCUUGACUGAUGCUGAGGCGCGAAAGCGUGGGGAGCAAACA
rnacentral:rRNA from 1 species